GCAGUCGCCACGGGAAUACGGAGGGGGCUAGCGUUGUUCGGAAUUACUGGGCGUAAAGCGCACGUAGGCGGCUUGGUAAGUUAGAGGUGAAAGCCUGGAGCUCAACUCCAGAAUUGCCUUUAAGACUGCCGAGCUAGCAGGUGAGAGAGGUAAGUGGAAUUCCGAGUGUAGAGGUGAAAUUCGUAGAUAUUCGGAAGAACACCAGUGGCGAAGGCGGCUUACUGGCUCAUACUGGACGCUGAGGUGCGAAAGCGUGGGGAGCAAACAGGAUUAGAUACCCGCGUAGUCCCUGUCUCUUAUAC
rnacentral:rRNA from 1 species